AGAUAUCACUGUUCUAAUUAUUUGCUGAACCAUUUAGAAGAUACAAACUGAACAUUCAUCAGUAGGAAAUUGGUUAAAAUAUGAUAUGUCUGCAUUACUGGAAUAUUACACAAUUAAAAUGUUAUAAAUCAAUAUUGAUGGAAAAUGUUCCCAAUGUAUUAAUGAGUGAAGAAAAUCUAGUUACAACAUAGAAUGCAUAUUAUUCUAGUUUUGUAAACCUGAAUAGAUCUGUAUUCAUACACACAGAUAUCCUAAAAAUGUUCAGUAUUGUUUAUGUAUGUCCGCAGUAUUGCAUUAGUGCCUUUUCUGAAUUAUUUUGCUUUAAAAAAAUUUCAGGCAUUAUUUUUUAGAAAAAAAAAAACCCUAAUUUACACAGGAGAAAAGAAAAAGAUACUCCAGAACACAGAUGCAUGAUAAAAAUAGCAAAUCAUAAUUCACAGUAACCUUACAGAUAUUAUCAUUUAGAUAUGGAAUAUUUAGGAAAAUGCCAAACCUCUGGUAACUAACGAACAACAAGAGAUUCAGAAAACAACUACUUUAGAAGUAUACAGACAGGGGAGUAUGCUAGAAGAGUUAAUAGAGUGUCAAUUCUUUAAAUAAAUUUCCUAAAAGUAGGUUGGGAAAAAAAAAAUGAAUGUGAGAACUAAUUCAACCAGAAGGGCAGAGGUUAGAAAAUGACAGAAGACUUGAUCCAGAGCCAAUUUCAACUGGGCCUAUAUCUGAUCCUACCCAUAUUUUUUUUAAUUAUGCACACCAAUAAAUUCUCCUUUUGUCUCCGUUUGAACUGGGCUUUCUAUGUCUUACAACUGAAAACAUCCUGAUAAACAGCCAUGAGAUCCAGUAUCCCACCCUGGGAUCUUGAAAUGACAAAGCACAGCAUUACUCACUUUGAACUUUUGAUAGUAACAUGGAACUUAACUAUUCAGUGUCCUGGAAGGUAAGGGCCAAAAAAAAAAAAAAAAAAUUGUGAGAAACUGUUCUCUCUCUCCCUCUCUCCAGUAAAUAUACACCGAAGUAAACUGUUCAGCCAAGCACACUUGAAACUACUGAAGCAGCUGGGAAGUGUGGGGUGGUAUCCAAAAUGCUCUGUGCCUUAAUAGCUUUCUUCAUUGUCCAAAAUGCAUGCUAUAAUGUUCCCACUCUUUCCACACCCCUUUCUCAUGAUCUUAUGGAGUUAAAAACAAACAUAUUUUUUCAUUCAGUCUGUUCCUGGUACAAAAGACACAAAAGAUAUAAUGAGAUUUACACUAUACAUAACUGAUGAUGUACAAAGUCUUAAAUGGUAAUAUAAAAACUCAGCUUAUUACUGCUGGAAAAGUGAAGACGUGCAGAGGAUAGGAGCCAACUGCAAAAAAAAUCUUACACUCAAAUUGCAGAUUGCAUGAUUUUAUGUAUUUUUUUUUAUUAUUAUUCAUAGAGAUGCAGAGAGAGAGAGAAGCAGAGACACAGGCAGAGGGAGAAGCAGGCUCCAUGCAGAGAGCCUGACGUGGGACUGGAUCCAGGGUCUCCAGAUCACGCCCCAGGCUGCAGGCGGCGCUAAACCGCUGUGCCACCGGGGCUGCCAGAUUUUAUGUAUUUUUAUUAAGUGGUCACUUCCUUGAAUUGUUUUAAAGCUUCUUACAAGAUUUUUUCCCUCAGGCAUCUGGUAGCUCAGUCUGUUAAGCAUCUGUCUUCAGCUCAGGUCAUGAUCUCAGGGCCCUGGGAUCGAGCCCCUUGUCAGGCUCGCUGCUCUGUAGGCGGUCUGCUUCUCCUUCUGCCCCUGCUCCCACCUACCCCCCACUCAUCCUCUCUCAAAUAAAAUAAUUAAUAAUGAAUCCAUUUCCUGGUACAACUGAUUAUGACUAGGGUUGAGCUCCUUAAAAUUUUUAAGUAUUUGUCUUAUUUAUUGUAGGUUUUCCUAGCCACCAAAUUAGGCAUUUCCCGAGCAUCUACUGUUUGUUAAGAACUGGUUUGAGGUCAUGGUCAUUCAGCAGUAAACAAACUUCCUGCCCCCAUGGAGCUUCUCUUCUAGCGGACAUGGGGUUUGUCAUGUCCGCAAGUAUACUUUUGCUAACAUCUUGACAUUAGUUAUCACUUUUAAGGCCUCUCUCUUGUGUAAAUUUGAUUGGAUGUGAAGGUUCUGACUGAAACUUACUGUACCAUUCUCAUGGGGUUUCUAUGUCUUGAGGACUGUGAAAUUUUGACUCCUGCUUGAAACACUGGCUACAUUCACACAACAAAUAGGUUUCCUCCAAUGGAACUGAGAUGACUGUAAAAAAGUUCAGCUCACUCUUGAACUAUUAAGACAUGAUAUUUUAUAAAUAUUCUCUGCUGUGUGGAUUUUUGGAAGAAAAUGUGAAGUCUACAAAUUGAAGAACACUUUUAUCACACUCAUCACAUGAACUGGAUUUAUCACUAUUAUGGACUCUCUGAUGAACUCGAAGACAUGAACUUUUACUAAAGCCCUUAGUACAGUCAAAACAUUUGUAGGGUUUAUCUCCCAUGUGGACUCUCCAAUGGGCUUGAAGAUGUGAGGUCUGAUUGAAGCUCUUACCACACAUGCCACAUUUAUGUGGUUUCUCUCCCGUGUGGAUCCUUGAUGAACAUGAAGAUAGGAGUUCCUGAUGAAGCCUUUCCCACAUUCUUCACAUUUGUUGAGCUUCUCCCCUGUAUGGACUCUCUGAUGGGCUUGAAGAUGUGAGCUCCAACUGAAGCCCUUCCCACACACAUCACAUUUGUAGGGUUUCUCUCCAGUAUGGACUCUCUGAUGUUCCUGAAGAUUUGAACUCUGACAAAAGCCCUUACCACAUGUCUCACAUUUGUAUGGCUUUU
rnacentral:lncRNA from 1 species